AUUGAACGCUGGCGGCAGGCCUAACACAUGCAAGUCGAACGAGUGGCGGACGGGUGAGUAAUGUCUGGGAAACUGCCUGAUGGAGGGGGAUAACUACUGGAAACGGUAGCUAAUACCGCAUACCAUCAGAUGUGCCCAGAUGGGAUUAGCUUGUUGGUGGGGUAAAGGCUAACCAAGGCGACGCUCCCUAGCUGGUCUGAGAGGAUGACCGGCCACACGGGAACGGAGAAGCGGCCCAGACUCCGACGGGGGGCAGCAGUGGGGAUUAUUGCACAAUGGGCGAAAGCCGGAUGCAGCCAUGCCGGGUAUAUGAAGAAGGCCUUCGGGUGGUAAAGUACUUUGAGCGGGGAGGCGUUACCAGCAGAAGAAGCACCGGCUAACUCCGUGCCAGCAGCCGCGGUAAAA
rnacentral:rRNA from 1 species